UACGGGGGGAGCAAGCGUUGUUCGGAUUUACUGGGAGUAAAGGGCUCGUAGGCGGCCUGUCGCGUCGGGAGUGAAAGCCCACUGCUUAACGGUGGGUCUGCUUCCGGUACGGGCGGGCUGGAGUAUGGCAGGGGAGACUGGAAUUCCUGGUGUAGCGGUGGAAUGCGCAGAUAUCAGGAGGAACACCGGUGGCGAAGGCGGGUCUCUGGGCCAUUACUGACGCUGAGGAGCGAAAGCGUGGGGAGCGAACAGA
rnacentral:rRNA from 1 species